GCAAAGUACAAUUGGGCAAUGCUUCACAGAAAGACUCUUACAAAUGACUGGAAGCCUUCCAUACAUGAAGAUGAUGGUUUAUUAUCUGUUUCAGCUGUGUCUCAUAUGGAUUCAUAAAUACAGUGCACCGCCAGCCGGAACUACUGCAACUAUGAAAGAAGCUGCUCUUACUUUGUGAGACCAAACUUCAUUAAUAUUUUAAAGAAUUAUGCAAAUAAGAAAAUAACCAGUCUGAAGAAAUGACUAUGUGUGAUAUCACUUCCUUCCAGAACUGGAGAUGUAAUAAAGUGGAC